CCUGAUGGAGCAACGCCGCGUGAGUGAAGAAGGUUUUCGGAUCGUAAACUCUGUUGUAAGGGAAGAACAAGUACAGUAGUAACUGGCUGUACCUUGACGGUACCUUAUUAGAAAGCCACGGCUAACUACGUGCCAGCAGCCGCGGUAAUACGUAGGUGGCAAGCGUUGUCCGGAAUUAUUGGGCGUAAAGCGCGCGCAGGCGGUCCUUUAAGUCUGAUGUGAAAGCCCACGGCUCAACCGUGGAGGGUCAUUGGAAACUGGGGGACUUGAGUGCAGAAGAGGAAAGUGGAAUUCCAAGUGUAGCGGUGAAAUGCGUAGAGAUUUGGAGGAACACCAGUGGCGAAGGCGACUUUCUGGUCUGUAACUGACGCUGAGGCGCGAAAGCGUGGGGAGCAAACAGGAUUAGAUACCCGUGGUAGU
rnacentral:rRNA from 1 species